CCAUGGGAGCGGCGAGCGCCCGAAGUCCGUGUCGCAACUGUCGCAAGGCAGGGCAAGCGGCCGAAGGCGAGCGCCGUGACUGGGGCG
rnacentral:rRNA from 1 species